rfam:Larimichthys crocea isolate SSNF unplaced genomic scaffold scaffold638, whole genome shotgun sequence.
AAUGUUACCCAAACAAAAGCGCUGACUUGAGUUCAAUGCAGUAAGUGCUACUUGUUGGGGUAGCUUUG